rnacentral:other from 16 species
GUUGACCUUACAGCAAUCUUAACAAAAUUUUUUCUGAAUAAAAAAACCUAAGUCAACUG